rnacentral:rRNA from 1 species
AUAGUUAANCUCUGCAUUUAGGUUGCCUCUUGCUGAUUUUGUCUGAUCUCGGAAGCUAAGCCAAGUGGGCCCUGGUUGUUCUUUGGGUGGAGGACUGCUUGGGAAUCCCAGGUGUUGCAUUCUA